rnacentral:rRNA from 1 species
UACGUAGGGUGCAAGCGUUGUCCGGAAUUAUUGGGCGUAAAGAGCUCGUAGGCGGUUUGUCGCGUCUGCUGUGAAAACCCGAGGCUCAACCUCGGGCCUGCAGUGGGUACGGGCAGACUAGAGUGCGGUAGGGGAGAUUGGAAUUCCUGGUGUAGCGGUGGAAUGCGCAGAUAUCAGGAGGAACACCGGUGGCGAAGGCGGUGGUCUGGGCCGGAACUGACGCUGAGGAGCGAAAGCGUGGGGAGCGAACAGG